rnacentral:lncRNA from 1 species
UUUUAAUUUAUUUUUUUAACAUCUUUUUUCAUGUCUUUGUUUUAGUAAAUGGAAAUAUGGCUGGAAGGGUCCUUGAGAGAUUACAUGUUCCCUCAUUUCUUCACCAAUAUGAAAGCUGAAGCAUAUGACAAAGACAAAGCAUAAUAGAAGGUCAUUCCUGAUCCAGCUUACACAGACCUUCCAUGUUCCCUGUCUACAGACCAUGAGCUCCCUCAGGUUCAAGGCAGCAAGACUCACGAUCCUGUUCACAGAAUGUGCCUGUUUUGCAGUCAUGGAGACACCCAGCCAGGUGAGGUUUGUGGCACUGAAAGCUUUGUGUUUGAAGAAUUAAGGAAUCAAAAUCAACUUGAAGCUUGUUUGAUUGCAGCAGGCCAAGAUGAUUUUCAGUCUAAGUCUCAAGGUGGAAAUCUUUCCGGCUGUGCUGAUGACAAACGUCUCACUCUAGGCU